rnacentral:rRNA from 1 species
AAAACAACUCUCAGCAACGGAUAUCUUGGCUCUUGCAACGAUGAAGAACGCAGCGAAAUGCGAUACGUAGUGUGAAUUGCAGAAUUCCGCGAAUCAUCGAGUCUUUGAACGCAAGUUGCGCCCGAGGCUUGUCCGAGGGCAUUUCCGCUAGAGCGUCACCGCGCCCCCCCACCGACCCCUCCCCCCCGCGGGUCGCGGGUCGAGUGAAAGUG